GGUCCCUUCGUCUAAUGGUUAGGACUCAGCCCUUUCACGGCUGCAAUAGGGGUUCGAAUCCCCUAGGGAUCACCA
rnacentral:tRNA from 1 species